GCUCUUGGGAUGCUCUUCUGGCAUAAACAUAAUAUCGAAAAGUCGUUGGCUGAUUUGCCCAACUUUACCCCUUUCCCAGAUGAGUGGACUGUGGAAGAUAAAGUCUUAUUUGAGCAAGCCUUUAGUUUUCAUGGGAAAACUUUUCAUAGAAUCCAACAAAUGCUGCCUGAUAAAUCUAUAGCAAGUCUGGUAAAAUUUUACUAUUCUUGGAAAGAAGACAAGGACUAAAACUAGUGUGAUGGAUCGCCAUGCCCGGAAACAAAACGGGAGCGGGAGGAGAGUGAGGAUGAACUGGAAGAAACAAAUGGAAAUAAUCCCAUUGACAUUGAGGUUGAUCAAAACAAGGAAAGCAAAAAGGAGGUGCCCCCUACUGAGACAGUUCCUCAGGUCAAAAAGAAAAACAUAGCACACAAGCUAAACAUAGCGCAAAAGGAAACCUCCUAAAGGAAUGUUUCUUUCUCAAGAAGAUGUGGAGGCUGUUUCUGCCAAUGCCACUGCUGCUACCACGUGUGCUGAGGACAACUAGACAUGGAACUAGUUUCAGUCAAACGACAGAUCCAGAAUAUUAAACAGACAAACAGUGCUCUCAAAGAAAAACUUGAUGGUGGAAUAGAACCUUACCGACUUCCAGAGGUCAUUCAGAAAUGUAAUGCACGUUGGACUACAGAAGAGCAGCUUCUCGCCGUACAAGCCAUCAGAAAAUACGGCCGAGAUUUUCAGGCAAUCUCAGAUGUGAUUGGGAACAAAUCAGUGGUACAAGUGAAAAACUUUUUUGUAAAUUAUCGACGCCGCUUCAACAUAGAUGAAGUUUUACAAGAAUGGGAGGCAGAACAUGGUAAAGAAGAGACCAACGGGCCUAGUAACCAGAAGCCUGUGAAGUCCCCAGAUAAUUCCAUUAAGAUGCCUGAAGAGGAAGACGAGGCUCCUUCUGUUCUGGAUGUCAGAUAUGCAUCUGCCUCCUGAGAAACUCUGGUGGCUUUGAACACUUGGUGUGGACUACUGUGUUAUCCGGGAUAUCAGGUAUUACGAGACAUCACCUAGCCAUCUGCAUCACAUCUCUCUGGACAAGCAGCUAUUACCAAAAAAGGCAUAUACUUCCAGUCCUGUGCUCCAUCUGCCUUAAUUCUUUGCUCGCUCCUCCAUGUUGGCGCCACUUCCCAGAGAGCUCCACUGCAUCCCACACUUUGCCCAUGUGCUGGGGAAAUCUCAUGGCCUGCACAUCUCGUGUGACUCUGGGAACCGCCUCCCCCGCCGGAGCCCCCGAGCCCCACCAAUGGCAGCUCUUCCCAGUCAGCAGCUUCAGAGCAGGCAGUCUCCUUGGAAGGCCCGACUCUGUUCCUGCAUGGCCUGCAAUUUCUACUUUGUGCAUAGAGUAAUUUUCAGAGUAACCGCGACCCUGUUGGCCUUCUAGAAAGUUUGUCUUUUUCUUUUCUGAGACAACCACCUAAGUGAUAAUAUGCUUUUUUGGAAAUCAAUAUAUAUUGCCGGACUGCAUCAUAACCUUUAUCAUGCCAAGCAUCCUGAUGCAGCUCACAUUUCCCUAAACAUGGGUUAUAGGUAUGGUUUAUAAAUUGAGUUGGCUUAAACCUCUCCCUUCUCCCUUCCCAAGUGUCACAAAGCUCAUUUACUGCAACUGUCAUUGGACACUGUAGCUUAAAGGGAAUGUGGACCUCAGUGCUUUCUGCCUUCAACUUUUCAGCAUUGUGACCCCAGGGUGGGUGCCACCCCAUCUUUUCCUGCCCCCCCCCCCACCUCCAAGAGGUUCGGCCCAUAUCACUGUACCUGGUGCUUGUACAUUUGGAAUUGGUGCCUUCUCCUUUUGGCAACCAUGGUAUCAAUCCUUUUUCUCUUUUAGUGUCUUAUUUCUUCUUUCAAGUUAUUUGCUAGCCAAAGAUGACAUCACUGAGAUUAGGAGACAGGGGAGAGCUUGCUGCAGAUUCUGACAGUGCAGAUUUUAAAUGUCAGGAUAUUAGGAUAGCUGGCGCUGGUUUAUGAAAGCUGCACGUUGUCCCACGUUCUCUCAGUGUGCCUGGCCCUUUAAGUGGCACACUGUAUGUCAGUUUGUGUCCUUCAUGUGCCGAUGUGAUUACACAAACACCAUCCACUCUCUUUUCAUAUCAGAGUACAGGACAGAGAAGUGAUCAAUGUGUUGGUCUAGUGAGACUGAGAUGAAAAGAAAUAACCUACAAAGUGGUCUGUAAUGCCUUUUGGUUGGACUGGGAACAAGUAAAAAUUUCUAAUAAACAUUUUGAGACUUCCAGAA